UACGGGGGGGGUAAGCGUUGUUCGGAAUCACUGGGCGUAAAGCGCACGUAGGCGGAUUGUCAAGUCAGGGGUGAAAUCCUGGAGCUCAACUCCAGAACUGCCUUUGAUACUGGCGAUCUCGAGUCCGGGAGAGGUGAGUGGAACUGCGAGUGUAGAGGUGAAAUUCGUAGAUAUUGGCAAGAACACCAGUGGCGAAGGCGGC
rnacentral:rRNA from 1 species